UACGUAGGGGGCAAGCGUUGUCCGGAUUUAUUGGGCGUAAAGAGCGUGUAGGCGGUUCGGUAGGUCCGUUGUGAAAACUCGAGGCUCAACCUCGAGACGCCGAUGGAAACCCUCGAACUAGAGUCCGGAAGAGGAGAGUGGAAUUCCUGGUGUAGCGGUGAAAUGCGCAGAUAUCAGGAAGAACACCCGUGGCUAAGGCGGCUCUCUAGUACGGUACUGACGCUGAGGUGCGAAAGCGUGGGGAGCAAACAGG
rnacentral:rRNA from 1 species